GAAGAAUUUGUGUAUCGAAACCAAUGAAGCGACUCAUCUUUAAAUCACGCUGUUUUUGAACUGUAAUUGUUCUCUAUGGUUGAUAUUUAUUGGGUGUCUUUAAAGGACAGAUGGCGAGAGUCAAGAAGGACAUCUUAAAAAUGUUAAAGCAGCUCAAAGAGGAGGAGUUCAAAGAGUUCAAGUGGCACCUGGAGAACGAGCCAAUCCCUGGAGACCCCCGAUCGGUCCCAUCCAGUGACCUGCAGAACGCAGACCGGAUGCACUACGGCACAGACUCGGCUCAGUUGGCCACGGCGGUUUUGGUAGAGAUGCAAAAAAACGAUCUGGCCGAAAUAUUAUCCAACACCACAACCUCUGCGGGCGAACCGAAUCCUGUGGGAGGAGAUGGAGAUCAGGGUGAAAAGACUUUGUAAAACCGUCUAAUUAUUGUACUCUUUUUAGUAAUUUCAUGGACAUAGUUCUUGAUUGUCAAGUUCUCACAGUCAGUAUUCAGGUAGCUUCAGAUAGGCUGCAGUGAAAUACAACCAAUAGCUUCAUCCAAGGGAAAUAUUAUACAGUUAAAGAUAUUAUACCAUUAAAGUAAAGCACCAUUGAACCAUCUUUACACUGUGACAUCACUCAUUCACCAAAUCGAAGAAUCAAAGUGUCACUAGAUGAACACAUGAUUAAUAACUGCAGCUGUAUUGUGUCUUGUUCUCUCAUCAGAUUCCUGUGAACUCACAAUCGACACAAACACAGUAAACGAAGAACUCAAACUGUCUGACAACAACAGGAAGGUGACACAUGUGAAGGAGGUUCAGUCACAUCCUGAUCAUCCAGACAGAUUUGAUUACUUUCGUAACCUGCUGUGUAGAACUGGUCUGACUGGUCGCUGUCACUGGGAGGUUGAGUGGAUAGAAGGAGUUGAUGUAUCAGUGAGUUACGGAGGAAUCAAGAGGAAAGGAGACAGUCAGGAUUGUUGCUUAGGACAGAAUGAUCAGUCCUGGAGUCUGUGGUGCUCUGAUGGAGGUUACUAUGUCUGUCACAAUAAGACAGUAACACGCAUCACCUCCUCCUCCUCCUCCUCUGGUAGAGUAGCAGUGUAUGUGGACUGGCCUGCUGGCUCUCUGUCCUUCUACACGGUCUCCUCUGACUCACUGAUCCACCUCCACACCUUCAGCACCACAUUCACUGAACCUCUUUAUCCUGGCUUUUGCCUCUGGUCCUUGUCUGGUUAUGGUUCUUGUACUGGUUCCUCAGUGUCUCUUUGUCCUCUUUAGGACGGUGGAGAACCUUCCUCUCUGCUCACCACAUAGUUCAGUCUGUACAGCUGAUGGAGGUUCAUGUGGGUGUAGGUGCAGGUGGAGCAGGUGAGGAGUACCUGAGCUGGUCUGGACUCUGGGGGUCCACAGCUCUCUGGGACUUGUGGUGUCUGAUGGAAUCAAUAAUCAUCAUGUUGGCUCCUAAUUAGAGUUUAAUCUUUAUCUUCAUGUGUCGCAAUGUUCAAGAAGAAAAUUUAUAAAAAGGGAAUCUCUCUGCCCUAAUAUGAGAUAAAUGUAUCUGUAUGAUAAAUGGUCCUUAUUUUUCAAUCCGAUUUUGACUUCAAAUCGUUCCAAAUGUGUGCAAUGAAAUCAAUUUGAAUUUCCUGUCAGUUGUUCUGAAUAAGAAGAAAGGGUUUAAGGACAGAUAAUAUCAGGUACUUCUGUUUUUAUUAACGUUGAUAUACCAGUACAAUGUUGAGUCCCUCCAUGUAUUACUUUGGGAAUAUAAUUGUAUGAUUAAAGUCAGUUUCUUUCUUUUGUUGAAUUCAGUUUUUAUUUGAACUAUUGUUUUCAGUUCCACAGUAACAUUUUCCUCUAAUAAAAGUUUAAAAACUA